CUGCCUCUAUCGCUGCCGCAAGAAAGUUUUAAAACGCGAUGAGGGUACAAAAAUUGAAACGCAAGCACUGAACUGGCCAGGAGUUUCUGUAACAGCUGACUGUUUUCUGAAACAAGAACAAAAGCACAGUCGCUCCGUCUGUUUUUCUUUUGAAGCUGCCUUCAAGCGUGGUCGGAAAUGUUGAGAUCUAUAAACGAUCAAUAAACGAUCUGAUGGAAAACAAUAAUUGUGAAAUACAAAUAAAAAUAUAUAGU